AUUUUAUACUCCUUCUCCCUAGUUCAGAAACAAACGCUGCUUCCUGCUCCACUGGGUGCCAAGGGCAGCAGGAAUGUGGCCUUUGUAUGACUCCUUCAACAGCAUGAUUGUGUCUCAAUUCACCUGUGGUCAUGAGAACUGGAUAGUCAAAGCUUUCAAAAGAUGUGGAGAGGAGAAGCAGAUUCUUCAAUUAUAUGCAGC